rnacentral:rRNA from 1 species
CCCGCUGGAGGUAUCAGAAGUGCGAAUGCUGACAUGAGUAACGAUAAAGGGGGUGAAAAACCCCCUCGCCGAAAGACCAAGGGUUCCUGUCCAACGUUAAUCGGGGCAGGGUGAGUCGACCCCUAAGGCGAGGCUGAAAGGCGUAGUCGAUGGGAAACGGGUUAAUAUUCCCGUACUUCUGCUAACUGCGAUGGAGAGACGGAGAAGGCUAGGCCAGCGCGGCGUUGGUUGUCCGCGUUUAAGGUAGUAGGUGGUGUGCUUAGGCAAAUCCGGGCACACAUACACUGAGAGCUGAUGACGAGUCCCCAAGGGGAUGAAGUGGUUGAUGCCAUGCUUCCAGGAAAAUCUUCUAAGCUUCAGGUUAGUAGAAAUCGUACCCCAAACCGACACAGGUGGUCGGGUAGAGAAUACCAAGGCGCUUGAGAGAACUCGGCUGAAGGAACUAGGCAAAAUGGUACCGUAACUUCGGGAGAAGGUACGCUGCCGGCGGUGAAGACCUCGCGUCGUAAGCUGCUGGCAGUCGCAGAUACCAGGUGGCUGCAACUGUUUAUCAAAAACACAGCACUGUGCAAAAUCGCAAGAUGACGUAUACGGUGUGACGCCUGCCCGGUGCCGGAAGGUUAAUUGAUUGGGUUAUCUUCGGAGAAGCUCAUGAUCGAAGCCCCGGUAAACGGCGGCCGUAACUAUAACGGUCCUAAGGUAGCGAAAUUCCUUGUCGGGUAAGUUCCGACCUGCACGAAUGGCGUAAUGAUGGCCACGCUGUCUCCAGCCGAGACUCAGUGAAGUUGAAAUUGCGGUGAAGAUGCCGUAUACCCGCGGCUAGACGGAAAGACCCCGUGAACCUUUACUAUAGCUUGGCACUGAACAUUGACCCUACAUGUGUAGGAUAGGUGGGAGACUAUGAAGAUGAGACGCCAGUCUUGUUGGAGUCAACCUUGAAAUACCACCCUUGUAGUGUUGAUGUUCUAACCUUGGUCCCUUAUCGGGAUUAGGGACAGUGCCUGGUGGGUAGUUUGACUGGGGCGGUCUCCUCCCAAAGAGUAACGGAGGAGCACGAAGGUUGGCUAAGUACGGUCGGACAUCGUACGGUUAGUGCAAUGGCAUAAGCCAGCUUAACUGCGAGACAGACACGUCGAGCAGAUGCGAAAGCAGGUCAUAGUGAUCCGGUGGUUCUGAAUGGAAGGGCCAUCGCUCAACGGAUAAAAGGUACUCCGGGGAUAACAGGCUGAUACCGCCCAAGAGUUCAUAUCGACGGCGGUGUUUGGCACCUCGAUGUCGGCUCAUCACAUCCUGGGGCUGAAGUCGGUCCCAAGGGUAUGGCUGUUCGCCAUUUAAAGUGGUACGCGAGCUGGGUUCAGAACGUCGUGAGACAGUUCGGUCCCUAUCUGCCGUGGGCGUUGGAUGAUUGAGGGGAGCUGCUCCUAGUACGAGAGGACCGGAGUGGACGAACCGCUGGUGUUCGGGUUGUCAUGCCAAUGGCAUUGCCCGGUAGCUACGUUCGGAAUCGAUAACCGCUGAAAGCAUCUAAGCGGGAAGCGAGCCCCAAGAUGAGUCAUCCCUAGGUCCUAGAGACCUCUGAAGAGCCGUUCGAGACCAGGACGUUGAUAGGCAGGGUGUGUAAGCGUUGCGAGGCGUUGAGCUAACCUGUACUAAUGACUCGAGAGGCUUAACCAUACAACCCAGAUGGGUUUUACGGACUUGAAGAAGU